GACGAACGCUGGCGGCGUGCUUAACACAUGCAAGUCGAACGGAAAGGCCCUGCUUUUGUGGGGUGCUCGAGUGGCGAACGGGUGAGUAACACGUGAGUAACCUGCCCUUGACUUUGGGAUAACUUCAGGAAACUGGGGCUAAUACCGGAUAGGAGCUCCUGCUGCAUGGUGGGGGUUGGAAAGUUUCGGCGGUUGGGGAUGGACUCGCGGCUUACCAGCUUGUUGGUGGGGUAGUGGCUUACCAAGGCUUUGACGGGUAGCCGGCCUGAGAGGGUGACCGGCCACAUUGGGCCUGAGAUACGGCCCAGACUCCUACGGGAGGCAGCAGUGGGGAAUAUUGCACAAUGGGCGGAAGCCUGAUGCAGCAACGCCGCGUGCGGGAUGACGGCCUUCGGGUUGUAAACCGCUUUCGCCUGUGACGAAGCGUGAGUGACGGUAAUGGGUAAAGAAGCACCGGCUAACUACGUG
rnacentral:rRNA from 1 species